UGGAGAUUUUCUCUGUUAAGGUAUGAAUCUUCAAACAUUAUCAACAUCAGGUUUCUUUGUGAAAAUGUGAAUCUCCAAUGUGCAUAUUUUCUCAAGUGUUCAGACUAUUAGAAGGGUAUUCUCCUGAUGGUGUCAUUGAAUAGAAUUGUAGCUAGAGAGUAAUAAAGUGUUGAGCUGUGUACUGUCUUUUGUCUGGACUCUGAUUUUA
rnacentral:misc_RNA from 1 species